GACGAACGCUGGCGGCGUGCUUAACACAUGCAAGUCGAACGGAAAGGCCCUGCUUUUGUGGGGUGCUCGAGUGGCGAACGGGUGAGUAACACGUGAGUAACCUGCCCUUGACUUUGGGAUAACUUCAGGAAACUGGGGCUAAUACCGGAUAGGAGCUCCUGCUGCAUGGUGGGGGUUGGAAAGUUUCGGCGGUUGGGGAUGGACUCGCGGCUUAUCAGCUUGUUGGUGGGGUAGUGGCUUACCAAGGCUUUGACGGGUAGCCGGCCUGAGAGGGUGACCGGCCAACUUGGGAACGGGGAUACGCCCCAGAUCCUAAGGGGGGGAGGAGUGGGGAAAAAUGCCACAUGGGCGGAAGCCUGAUGGCGCAACGCCGGGUGCGGGAUGGCGGCCUUCCGGUUGUAAACCGCUUUUGCCUGUGAACAAGCGUGAGUGGAGGUAAUGGGUAAAGAAGCAACGGGUAAACAAGUG
rnacentral:rRNA from 1 species